UUUCUUCGAAGGGUACCUCGUAUAUAUUGAAAAUUUAUAAAGAAAGUAAAAAAAUAAUUUUUCCAGCAUAAGAAAAUAGUAACAACAAACACGCGAGUUUUUAAUCGGACAUCAAACGUAUUUUGAUGAGGCGUUUGAGAAAAUUGUCUGCUAAGGGCAAGUGCGACGAUAGUGUUUCAUCGAGUGUAGAUUAUAGUGGUGCCUGUGGUGUUAGUAAUAGUGCGGGAUUGGAAACGCAUGCAGGUCUCAAUCUUCAUAAUCAUACAGGAAGUCAAGCAGCAGAAAGGAGAACUACGGUGGUUGUGACAUCAAGCAAAAGCAAAUAUAGAUCAAAUAUGGAGUCUAUCAACAAAGGCUUCAGUGGCGGCGCUCUCAGCAGUGAGGUGUUUAAGCAUUUCGAGAAAUCGGGAAAAAGUGAAUUUUUGAAAUACUUAAAGCAACAAAUGCGGGACAACGACUGUCCAUAUAUGGGCAAACAGAAUGAAUUCAAGUUCGGAAUUGCUAAUGCCAUCUACGAUCUUCUAUGGCAGGGUUUACGGUGCACAUUGAAAAAGGACACCGUUUUGAAUACCUUAGGAGAUGUGGUGGCCCUGCAUGACGACUUUCCUUCCUUGAUUUUGGAUGUGGUAAAUGUUUUAGAUGCAGAGACAUCGCUAAUGACAGAGGGUAUACAAGAGGAACGUUUAAUGUUUUGCCAGAUGCUGAAGGAAUUGGAUAAAGUUAUAUCAGAUAAAUUAAUUAAAGAACGUUUAGAGAUUGAUACGUUGCAGGAAGUAGGCAUAGUCAAGAAUAAAGUUUUCUACACGAAGUUUAUUAAGAUCAAAACCAAACUCUAUUAUAAACAACGACGAUUUAAUCUAUUUCGCGAAGAAAGCGAGGGUUAUGCUAAAUUAGUAACUGAAUUGAAUCAAGAAUUUGAGGAAGAUGUUACUUCCGAAAGCAUUAUGGAUAUUAUAAAAUCAUUGAUCGGUUGCUUCAAUUUGGAUCCCAAUCGGGUAUUGGAUAUUAUUCUAGAGUCCUUCGAGUCUCGACCAGAACGUUGGCAAUUGUUUAUCCCCUUGCUAAGAGCCUAUAUGCCUAAUGGUUCCAUUAUUUGUGAGGUGUUGGGCUACAAAUUUCGUCAUUUUUCUGAGGGUAAAACGCCGCGUUCUUUAUUUCAUGUUUGCUCGUUGUUAUUAAAAUAUGGUGUAAUAGAUUUGAAUGACAUCUAUAUAUGGUUAACACCCACCGAUAAAGAUAUAAUAAGCGAUUGGGAGCAAGAUUUAUUGGAAGCCAAGGAAUUUGUUCGCAAACUAAACGUUAUUGUAACUAAUAAGGACAAAGAAAUCACUGAACCAGAACCUGAGAAAGAAUACAAUAGUGAGAAAUACUAUGUCAACCAAAAAUUUGGUUUAUGCGAAGGCUUACUUAAAGUUGGAGAUUGGGACAAUGCUUUGAAAAUUAUUAAAAAAUUACCGGAGCAAUGUGUCGCUGUUCAUGAACCUAUAGCUCGCGCCUUGGCCGAGCUUAUACAUAUUGCCAUUGAGCAUAUAUAUCGCGUGAAAUGCUUUAAGAUUUCUCCAACUGCUAAGUUGCAGAAGAGGCGUCUAUGCGAAGACUUGAAACUAGUGCAAAGAAUACAAGCAAAAGAAUUUGUUGAGUUAAGAAAGUAUGUGCUGCCCAUGUGUGUUGCUUUAGGCCCGUCAUUACAUUAUGACACGGUUUUAAUGUAUAAAUUGUUGCGAAUUCUGCGUGCUAUCAUCACUGAGAUGGGUGUUGAUAAUCAAAAUUUGCCAACUUCCCAUACGGAGGCAGAGAGUCUAUAUAACGAAGUAAUGACCAUAAUGGAUGCCGCCAUAUUACCAGCCUUAUCAUAUCUGGAUUGUAAUUGCCCCAUGGCUGAAGAAAUUUGGACGGUUUUGAAAUAUUUUCCUUAUCAUUACCGUUAUGGUUUGUACGCCCGCUGGAAGAAUGACACUUAUUUGCUGCAUCCUCAGCUAAUACGUCGCCGUGGAAAUGCUCAAAAACAUAUUAAAGCCAUUAUGAAGCGCGUCAGCAAAGAGAAUGUCAAACCGUUGGGCCGUCAAAUCGGCAAAUUAAGUCAUUGUGCCCCCGGCUUCUUGUUUGAUUACAUUUUGCUACAAAUUCAAAUUUAUGACAAUUUAAUUGGGCCCGUUGUUGAUUCGUUGAAAUAUUUAACCUUAUUGUCUUUCGAUUGCUUGGGCUAUUGCUUGAUAGAGGCGUUAACUAUGGCUGAUAGAGAUCGUUUCAAACAUGACGGUACGUCCAUAUCGUUGUGGUUACAAAGUUUGGCUUCGUUUUGUGGUGCCAUUUUCAAAAAAUAUAACAUUGAACUGAGUGGUCUGUUACAAUAUGUUGCUAACCAACUAAAAUCACAAAAAAGUUUGGAUCUGCUAAUACUUAAAGAAAUUGUACAAAAAAUGGCAGGUGUGGAAUCGGCCGAGGAAAUGACGAACGAACAAUUGAAUGCCAUGUGCGGCGGUGAAUUGUUGCGAGGGGAGGCUGGCUACUUUAGUCAGGUACGAAACACCAAAAAAUCGUCACAACGUUUAAAAGACGCUUUGGCAAGCAAUGAUCUGGCUGUCACUAUUUGCUUGUUAAUGGCUCAACAAAAGCAUUGUGUUAUAUAUCGGGAAACGGCACAAAGCCAUUUGAAAUUGGUAGGCAAACUAUACGAUCAAUGUCAAGACACAUUAGUACAGUUUGGCACAUUCCUUGGAUCCACUUAUUCGGUUGAUGAGUAUGUAGAACGUUUACCUUCCAUUAUUACAAUGUUACAAGAUUAUCACAUUAAUGCCGAUGUAGCAUUUUUUCUGGCCAGACCUAUGUUUACACAUCAAAUCAAUCAAAAGUACGAUCAGUUGCGUAAAGCAGAUCCAAAUGCUAAAAAGUUGAAUAACAAUCAGAAAUUACAAAAAUAUUUGGACGCUACUAAUUUAAUAAUGAAUCCGAUUGUUGAGUCAGUUCGUCCUUUACAUGGACUGAAAGUUUGGGAAGAUAUAUCGCCACAUUUUUUCGUUACAUUCUGGUCUUUAAGCAUGUACGACCUGCAAGUACCGUCGGAUAGUUAUCAGCGAGAAAUAUCCAAAUUGAAAUUGUUAUCACAACAAGCAGCUGAUUCCAAGGACUCGAAUGCCUCCAAGAACAAAAAAGAGCAAGAACGUUAUAUGGCCUUAAUGGACAAACUGCAAGAUGAGCGUAAGAAGCAGCAGGAACAUGUUGAUAAAAUCUUGCAACGAUUGCAGCAACAAAAGGAUAAUUGGUUUUUAUCACGUUCGGCUAAGUCAGCAAAAAAUGAGACCAUUACCCAAUUUUUGCAAUUAUGUUUGUUUCCCAGGUGUACUUUCACUGCCCUGGAUGCUUUAUAUUGCGCAAAAUUUGUACACACUAUACACAAUUUAAAGGCUGUUAACUUUUCAACUUUGCUUUGCUACGAUCGAAUCUUUUGUGACAUAACUUAUUCGGUGACUUCUUGUACGGAGAAUGAGGCGACACGUUACGGUCGCUUUUUAUGUGCUAUGCUGGAAACCGUAAUGCGUUGGCAUUCGGAUCAGGCCACCUUUAAUAAAGAGUGCGCAAAUUACCCGGGCUUUGUUACCAAGUUUCGAGUUAGCAAUCAGUUUUCAGAAGCAAAUGAUCAUGUUGGCUAUGAGAACUACCGACAUGUCUGUCACAAAUGGCAUUACAAAAUCACCAAGGCAAUUGUAUUCUGUUUAGAUUCUAAGGAAUACAUGCAAAUACGUAACGCCCUCAUUAUAUUAAUGCGCAUUUUGCCUCAUUAUCCUGUUCUGGCCAAGCUUGCUCAAAUCAUUGAACGUAAGGUGGAGAAGGUGCGCGAAGAGGAAAAGAACAAAAGACCGGAUCUAUUUGUAAUAGCUUCUAGUUAUAUAGGACAGCUUAAAACUAAGGCUGCACAAAUGAUCAAGGAGAGCGAUUUCCAUCAAGUUUCAGAGCGACCUUUGCGAGUAGAAACAGGAAAUGCCGCAGCCAGUGGCGGCAAUACAACAAUAGUUGCCAAUAUAAAUUCAUCAAUGACGUCGAGUGGUAGCAGUAUCAGCUUAUUGGCUGGUAACAGUCUUAUUAACUCGAGCAGUAAUACGCCGAGUGUUGCGACAAUAACUAGCAAUGAAGCCCUCAGCAAAGCCAUUGUUAAUAACGGUGAAAUGAAAUCAGAAAAGCGUGAAAAAGACCGCUCGGAAAGGCCUUCGAAGAUCAUAAAAUUAAAUGCUAACAAUUCCUCCGACCGUGAACGGGAGAACUCGACCGCUAAUCGCAAUAUUACGGUUAUAGAGAUAAAGGAUGACUUCGCGUUAACAACUGCUAGUUCAGUCAACUCAUCCUUAUUAACUACGAUUAAUGAUAGAGAUCAUGAUCGUCUAAGUAGCACACGCUCUUUAAAAGAACAUGGAAUCAAGAAGGAAGAGCGUAUACGUGAUCGUGAACGCGAACGCAGUGAACGUAACGAAAGAGAAAGGGAACGUGACUUACGUAGUCAAAUUAAUGAAGAUGUGGAAGGAUCAGCUGCAAUUCGGUCGAAACGAGAGAAACGUCGUGAAGACCGCUAUCGCAAUGAGUCGCCCACGCCGCUGGACGCAUUAGAUGUAGGCGCAGUUAAACAUGAAUACGGUGACAGAGAACGGGAACGCGAGCGGGAACGUGAUUAUGAACGCAAUGAACGUACUGUAAGAGAUCGUGAUCGUGAUUUAAGUUCAGUAUCAAAUGAGAGUAAUGGAUCUUUGCAGCAGCAGAGACGCAGUCAGGAUAUGAUAGAAUAUGAUAAAGUCGACUCUAAACGUCGUAAACUGGAUACCUCAUCAACGUCUUCAAAUUCAAAGGUUAGUAUCAUGGUGCUAUCGUAGAUUCCUUGUCUCUGUAUGUGAGUGAGUAUAGGAGAAACAGCUGCAACACCAACAUUAACAGCAAUAAUAAAAAAGAUCACAACUAUCCUUCUGGUGUCACAUCAGUGAAAGCAAUUUUUAUAAUCAUAACAACAAGCAGCAAAUGUUUGGCUUUUCUUCUGCUGUGCGUGGAACGUCUCUCAACUUCACCUUUCACCAAGCUCAAGUCUGAAAAUCGUUUGUUUUGAUUGUUUCCAACUCAGGGUUUAUUGUCGAUUAAGUAAACAUUGGCUGGUCCAGUAGCAAAAUAUUUCAACAAGAACAAUAACUAAUGUAUAAAGUGUCAAUUUCUAAUAUCUAAUUUUAAUUAAUUUUAGAAUAAUUAUAUAUCCCUCCUAUAUAUAUCAUUAUGUAAUAAGGGGUGAGUAUGUAUUACUGCUAAUGGUAAUCGAUGUCUAUAGGGUUUAUUCAAAAAAUCUUUUAUUAUCGUUGUUACUUGAAAUGACCUUUAACAAUUUUAGUUAGUCAAUUAACUUUUUUACGUAAAGAUACAAAAACAAUAGUUGAAAAGUAAGGUUUAUCAAUUAAGUUUAAUAUUAAGUACGUAUUGCUUCGCGAGGAAACUGCUUUGCAUAAUACCUGUGAUAUCCAACUUAUCGGAAGAGCAUAAUUACACUAUUAUAAAAGAAGCCGGGAAAACAAAGGACGUAUAUUAGCGACCACGAGAAGCCAAGCCUGAAGCUAUUAACAAUCGUGUCUAAUCAACAACCCUUCAAAAAGGAAUUCAGAAAUCCCAAAUUUCAUAGUCACAACUACAUCAAAAAAUUCAUCAGAACGAUCAGCAAAAGAAGUCAAUCCGUACCGAAAUAAGGUUCUAAAUAAUAAAACAUCAAAGAUUUCGUAAACUUCAUCUGCCGAGUGGAUGCCAACUUUGUGUGACCUACAUCGGAGAUUUUGUUUUAAAACCCGCUACAACUGGUGCAACAGCAUUUGAAAAUAUUUGUCGAAAAUCUUCAGCAACACUUAGUCUAAUCCUCUUUCGCAUUCGUUCGUUCAUCGCUUUCCUAAGUCAAUCAAUUUGCUUGCGAAAUUCUUUGGAAGGUAAAAGACGAAAGGAAACAAAACUAAUUCAACAGUUAAUCACGGCUUUAAUUGUUUUGAAGGCGGCUUUGUGGGAAAGAGAUUUAAGUAUAACCCAAUGCGAGUUGUAUGCACGAAAAGAUAUACGAACUUUACUAAUCCCAAACGAAUCGUAAUGCGGCCAAAAAUUAAGGAUUUUCUCGAAAAUAAUAAAAAAGAAGAACUGAGAGGACACCACGGCGGAUGGCAUUAAAAAGUCCUUCUGCUCAGAGAUUUGUACAUCUUUGCCACAAGGGAAGAUUUUAUCGAUUAAUGGUUUCCUUAAAGUAGCAGCAAUCCGAACGCAGAACAUCUGAAACAUCAAAGUCUAAAGGAUUUUCAAGCAACUUCUCGUCUUUUAAGACUUGGUAGAUGUGUUGUUAUCAUCAGAGAAAAUCAACAUUUCUACUACAAUUGCUAAAGUUACCAUCACUUAUAACACGUUGCAAAAAAAAGUUCUAAUACUACUACGGAGGAAAUCAUGCGGCCUGUAUCAUCAACGUCUUCAUUGUCCUAUGUCGAGAAUGUCUGAUUGAAAAAAACUGUAGCCCAAGAUAUCUACUGUAGUGAUUAGUCUUAAUUAUAAAGGACCUUGCAUCAUCUUCAUAAAAGCCCACAAAUGAAAUCAGUGAUAAUAAAUAAGUGUCAAAGAGUGAAGAGAAAGAGAGAGAGAAAGAAAGAGAGUGAGUGCGUGCUUGCUUGCUUGCCUUUGUGUAUACGCCAAAAGAAGACAAGAUUGUGCUGCUUGUGUUGUUGAAACGUUGGUCACAAAAAACAGCUUAAACUUGUAAUGGUGAGCGAAGCAACAACAACAGCAACAGCAAUUAGUGGAUGAUCACAGUGAGCCGACGAAGAAGGAACGAAGUCUAAAAACGAAAGAGCGUAAAGAAA